rnacentral:rRNA from 1 species
CGAACGGGUGAGUAACACGUGGGCAAUUUGCCCUUGAGUUUGGGAUAAGCCUUCGAAAGGAGGUCUAAUACCGGAUAAUAUCUUUAAAUGGCAUUAUUUUUAGAUCAAAGGCGGGGUAACCUGCCGCUCGAGGAUGAGCCCGCGCUCCAUUAGCUUGUUGGUAGGGUAACGGCCUACCAAGGCAGUGAUGGAUAGCCGGCCUGAGAGGGUGAACGGCCACACUGGGACUGAGAUACGGCCCAG